rnacentral:rRNA from 1 species
AAUAGAUACCCGGGUAGUCCACGCCGUAAACGAUGGGUGCUAGGUGUCGCGGGCUUUGACCCCUGCGGUGCCGUAGCUAACGCAUUAAGCACCCCGCCUGGGGAGUACGGUCGCAAGAUUAAAACUCAAAGGAAUUGACGGGGACCCGCACAAGCGGUGGAUGAUGUGGUUUAAUUCGAUGCAACGCGAAAAACCUUACCCACCUUUGACAUGUACGGAAUUCCGCAGAGAUGUGGAAGUGCUCGAAAGAGAACCGUAACACAGGUGCUGCAUGGCUGUCGUCAGCUCGUGUCGUGAGAUGUUGGGUUAAGUCCCGCAACGAGCGCAACCCCCAUCAGUAGUUGCCAUCAGGUAACGCUGGGAACUCUACUGAAACUGCCGUCGUAAGACGCGAGGAGGGAGGGGAUGAUGUCAAGUCAUCAUGGCCUUUAUGCCCAGGGCUACACACGUGCUACAAUGGGGCGUACAAAGGGCUGCCACUUAGCGAUAAGGAGCCAAAUCCCAAAAAACGCCUCUCAGUUCAGAUCGC